UACAGAGGGUGCGAGCGUUGUCCGGAGUUAUUGGGCGUAAAGAGCUCGUAGGCGGUUCCGUAAGUCGUGAAGUCAAAUCUCUGGGCUCAACCCAGAAUCGCUUCCGAUACUGCGGUGACUGGAGUCCGGUAGGGGAGUGUGGAAUUCCUGGUGUAGCGGUGAAAUGCGCAGAUAUCAGGAGGAACACCAACAGCGAAGGCAGCACUCUGGGCCGGUACUGACGCUGAGGAGCGAAAGCAUGGGGAGCGAACAGG
rnacentral:rRNA from 1 species